UAAAAAUUUAAUGAACCAAUUCUUCCAACUCCUAAAGGCUAAAACUAUUUGAUUGAAGUUAACAACAAAGCAUAAAAUAUUUUCUUAUAAAAUGAUCCGAUAAUAUCCAAUUUAUUACAUGUAAAGAAGAAGAAAAUAUGGCUCGAAUCCUAAGUUCAUUUGCUUUGAUCAUGUUUGUUUUUUUAUUUCUUGUUGCAUUCAUCAAUAACAUUGCAGCUAUUCCCUGCCUUUUGAGCCAUGACUGUCCAGGAGAUUUGUGUCUUCCACAUCUUACUCCAAAGUGCAUUAAUCUUUUUUGUCAAUGCUAUUUAGAGAUUGACGACUAAGUUUCAUAAUAAGUAUAUGUUAUUUCCAAUAUUAUAAUUUUAUUUGUGAGUCAUAAUAUUUGUAUAAUUUCCCUAAUAAUUUUUUUUUUAUGUUUGUUUGACCUUUCAAUUUUGUUGACAAGGUUAAACGUUGUACUAAACAACUAUUUUACUUCAUGCUCUUAUAGAAUAAAUGGAGAACAUAUGUAUAUUAUUCCAUUAAAUAAAUAAAUAAAAUAUAUGAUUGUCUAAUUGAA